rnacentral:rRNA from 1 species
UACGUAGGGGCAAGCGUUGUCCGGAAUCAUUGGGCGUAAAGAGCGUGUAGGCGGCUUGAUAAGUCUGCUGUGAAAGUCCAGGGCUCAACCCUGGAAAGCCGGUGGAUACUGUCAGGCUCGAGUCCGGAAAAGGCGAGUGGAAUUCCUGGUGUAGCGGUGAAAUGCGCAGGAUAUCCAGGAGGAACACCAAUGGCGAAGGCAGCUCGCUGGGACGGUACUGACGCUGAGACGCGAAAGCUGGGGGAGCAAAACCA